rnacentral:rRNA from 1 species
GACGAACGCUGGCGGCGUGCUCAACACAUGCAAGUCGAACGGAAAGGCCCUGCUUUUGUGGGGUGCUCGAGUGGCGAACGGGUGAGUAACACGUGAGUAACCUGCCCUUGACUUUGGGAUAACUUCAGGAAACUGGGGCUAAUACCGGAUAGGAGCUCCUGCUGCAUGGUGGGGGUUGGAAAGUUUCGGCGGUUGGGGAUGGACUCGCGGCUUAUCAGCUUGUUGGUGGGGUAGUGGCUGCCCAAGGCUUUGACGGGUAGCCGGCCUGAGAGGGUGACCGGCCACAUUGGGACUGAGAUACGGACCAGACUCCUACGGGAGGCAGCAGUGGGGAAUAUUGCACAAUGGGCGGAAGCCUGAUGCAGCAACGCCGCGUGCGGGAUGACGGCCUUCGGGUUGUAAACCGCUUUCGCCUGUGACGAAGCGUGAGUGACGGUAAUGGGUAAAGAAGCACCGGCUAACUACGUG